GACGAACGCUGGCGGCGUGCUUAACACAUGCAAGUCGAACGGAAAGGCCCUGCUUUUGUGGGGUGCUCGAGUGGCGAACGGGUGAGUAACACGUGAGUAACCUGCCCUUGACUUUGGGAUAACUUCAGGAAACUGGGGCUAAUACCGGAUAGGAGCUCCUGCUGCAUGGUGGGGGUUGGAAAGUUUCGGCGGUUGGGGAUGGACUCGCGGCUUAUCAGCUUGUUGGUGGGGUAGUGGCUUACCAAGGCUUUGACGGGUAGCCGGCCUGAGAGGGUGACCGGGAAGAUUGGAAGUGAGAGAAGGGCGAGGCGCCUUAGGGAGGGAGCAGUGGGGAGGGUUGGAGAGUGGGCGGAAGGCUGACGGAGCAUCGCGGCGAGCGGGAGGGCGGCCGGGGGGUGGUAAACCGCUUUCGCCUGAGACGAGGCGUGGGUGACGGUAAUGGGUAAAGAAGCACAGGCUAACUACGU
rnacentral:rRNA from 1 species